rnacentral:rRNA from 1 species
GACAUAGGUGGCGAGCGUUAUUCGGAAUUACUAGGCGUAAAGCGAGUGUAGGCGGGCGCUUAAGUCCGUUGUGAAAUCUCCCGGCUUAACUGGGAGGGGUCAAUGGAUACUGGGCGUCUUGAGUGAGGUAGGGGGCAGUGGAAUUCCCGGUGUAGCGGUGAAACGCGUAGAUAUCGGGAGGAACACCUAUGGCGAAGGCAGCCUCCUGGGCCAACAUUGACGCUGAGACGCGAAAGCGUGGGGAGCAAACAGG